CUAAAAAAAUGAACCAGUCGCGUAUCAGCUUGACUCCAUCUCUCCCAUUUUCCCAAAUCACCAUGGAAACUCCAUAGUUACACAGCUUCCCACCCUAAAGCUCCCCAAAUAGCUGCAAAAUUCACCAUGAUUAACACCAAUUUUCAGCUCAAAGCCGCUGCAAAAACGCAGCACUUCUCCCCCCAAAUCAGUUGCAAAAUCCAGUCGAAGAGCUGCUGAAAAAUAGCCCCGAAACGCAGCAGCAAACAGUCCUAAAAUCAGCACUCCACACUAAGCAAGAACAACUCUAUCUUCAGCCAAAAACCCAGCGAAAAUUCCAAGCCAAAACUCCAUGAAAGGCUGAUGAAAAUCAGUCCAAAAAGCAACAAAAACUCAACAACAAAGCACCAAAAAAUGCUGAUAAAUUCUGCCCUUCAAACAACCACGCAAUCCCAGCUUAAACCGCCGAAAAUCCAGCCUUAAAAUAACCUCAAAACAAAGGUCGUCGGCGAGUCCGAUUUCCUCGCCUGAAAUUGUCGUCCGAAGUGUAGUUCGCGGUCCUUGUUCUAUCUUGUUGCUGCUGUAUUUUCGUGAUUGGAUUCGGUAGAUUCGAGGUGAUGUUCUUGCGUUCUCUCGAUUAAUCGAAAAGUUUCGCGCGAUAAGAUACUGAUAUCGGAGCAUUUGGACCGCAGUGAUAGUGUUGUCUCCAGUCCACUCAGGCGACCCGAGAUAGUCCUGCAGACAUCCGGGGGCCUUGGCGUCUCCUCCUAUCACUUCUCUUUCUGUUUUUACUUAUUCAGAGACAGAUUUGUGUAAUUUCAUUCGGACCUUAUUUGUAGUAUUUUUAGAUAGUCCGUGACUUGUGACACCAAAUUCUGGGUAGUAUUGUACUUUAAACUAUAUAGCAGUAUUUGGUUGAAUUA